rnacentral:rRNA from 1 species
UCUGGUGAUUACAGCAGAGAGGUCACACCCGUUCCCAUCCCGAACACGGUAGUUAAGCUCUCUUGCGCCGAUGGUACUGCAGGUUAUCUGUGGGAGAGU